GUGGACUUUUGGAGGUGGAUUUGGGAGAAGCUAGGGUUUCUUUGGGAGUCUUAGAGGAAGAAGAGCUUCAACGACCAAUACAAUAUCCAGAAUUAUUUGAGAGAACUCAUAAACGGUCAAAAGGAAGUGGUGAUUUUGUAGACAAUAAAUCCAAAGUUGUUAGUGAGAAAUAUCAAUCUACAUUAUCUGAAAAAUAUGGUGAUAAUACUUCUGAUCGUC